rnacentral:rRNA from 1 species
AUGGCGGCGGAGCUUCCGGAGACGAUGGACGCGCUGGCGCAGCGGGUGAGCGCGCUGCGGGCCUCGCUGCAGAGCAGCCAAGGGAACACGGAGGGCAUGGUCGCCAUCCUCGGCUCCUUCGACCAGCGCCUCUCCGAGCUCGAGGCCACCAUACACCCCAUCCAGGUGAGGGCGCACGCGACCCAGAUGGCGCAUGAGAACAUCGACAAGGCGAUCAAGGUCGCCGAUGACAUCCUCGCCCAGAUCGUCAUCGUCCGCGAGGCAGAAGCUACGAUAUUGAGGGGGCCCCAUGUGGAUCUGGAGGGCUACCUGAAAGCUGUGGGUCAUCUGAAAGACGCUGUUGGUUUUUUCUCCUCGAGGGAGAACUUUACGAGUAAAGAACGAUUUCUGAAUGAUGUAAACGUUCUCUUAUCUAAGUCUUCACUGAUGGUUGAGGAAGAAUUCAAGUGGUUGAUGACAACAUACAGCAAACCUAUUGAGGGUGAUCUUAUAUUGGGUUCGCCUCCAAAGCUUCGAUGGGCGUCAGAUGGCGAUGCUGAAGCAGAUGGACGAAAUUCUGCCCACUCCGAGCAUCCAUCCAAAGACUUGGAAACUGCCAUUUGCGGGACUCCAGCACUGAUCCCCUCUAGAAUAUUACCCCUUCUUCAUAGUAUAGCUCAGAAAUUGGUUCAGGAUGGAAACCAGCAGUCAUGCUACAAAAUUUACAGAGAUGCUCGUCGUUCGGCAUUAGAACCGAGUCUUCGGAAACUGGGAGUAGAAAAGCUUAGUAAAGAUGAUGUAGAAAGAAUGCAAUCGGAUGCUUUAGAAGCUAAAAUUGGAAAGUGGACCAAGUAUUUGCAAAUUACAGUGAAACUCCUUGCUGGAGAACGAAAAAUUUGUGAUGAGGUUUUUGAAGGUAUCAGUUUCAACAAGGAUCAGUGUUUCACUGAACUGGCAAGAACUGGAGUUGCUGUUGCUAAAACUCUUCUCAGCUUUGGAGAUGCUGUUGCUAAAAGUAAAAGGUCUUCUGAAAAGUUGUUUGUACUGCUGGAUAUGUAUGAAGUAAUGCAUGAAGUUAGAUCCGAGGUUGAAGUUAUUUUUCAAGACAGUUUUUGCUCGGAGAUGCGUGAGGCUGCAUUGGGCUUGAUGAAGCUCUUGGCACAGACUGCCCACGAAAUGUUUGUUGAUUUUGAGGAAUUAGUUGAGAAGGAUACUUCGAAGACUAACGUCCAUGACGGAACUGUCCAUCCUUUGACUAUCCGUGUGAUCAAUCAUGUUAAAUUCCUUUUUGAUUAUCAGUCAACACUGAAGCUACUAUUUCAAGAAUUUGAAACUGGAAGUGAUACUGAAUCCCAACUUGCAGUUGUUUUGACAAAGAUAAUGCAAGCUCUUCAGAACAACUUAGAUGGGAAAUCUAACCAGUACAAGGAUCCUGCGCUGAUGAGCAUAUUUCUUGCGAACAACAUUCACUACAUGGUUAGUUCUGUUCGCAGAUCAGAAGCCAAGCAUAUACUUGGUGAUGACUGGAUUCAGAUACAUCGUAGGAUUGUACAGCAACAUGCCAAACAAUACAAAAUGGUUGCAUGGGGAAAGGCUGUUCAGACGCUCUCCAUUCAAGUUGCCAGCAGCAGUGGUACAUCAGCAUCGUCUGAUCUUAGCAGCAGUGGAGUUUCAAGAGCUAUGAUCAAAGAAAGGUUGAAGUCUUUCAAUAUGCAAUUUGAAGAGCUUCGUGCAAAGCAAUCUCUAUGGACCAUACCUGAUCAAGAACUGAGAGAAACUCUGAGGCUUUCUAUAGCUGAAGUUCUCUUGCCAGCCUAUAUGUCCUUCGUUAAACGUUUUGGGAAUCUUGUUGAAAAUGAAAAGAAGCCUCGUAAAUACUUGAAAUACCAGCCAGAUGAAUUGGACCAGUUGCUGGGUCAGUUCUUUGAAGGACAACAAUCUGUUGAACAGAAGAAGUAA